rnacentral:tRNA from 1 species
GGGCUGGUAGCUCAGUUAGGCAGAGCGUCUGGCUUUUAACGGGGCUACGCAGGUUGCGUGGUUUCGGAAGACACCAGACGGUCGGGGGUUCAAGUCCCUCCCAGCCCG